GAUGAAGAACGUAGUGAAAUGCGAUAAGUAAUGUGAAUUGCAGAAUUCAGUGAAUCAUCGAAUCUUUGAACGCACAUUGCGCCCGCCAGCACUCUGGCGGGCAUGCCUGUUCGAGCGUCAUUUCAACCAUCAAGCCCCCAGGGGCUUGUGCUGGGGCCCUGCGGCUGCCCGCAGGCCCUGAAGACCAGUGGCGGGCUCGCUAGUCACACCGAGCGCAGUAGCACAUCUCGCUCAGGGCGUGCGGCGGGCUCCUGCCGUGAAACCCCCCACUGUAACCCCAAAGGUUGACCUCGGAUCAGGUAGGAAUACCCGCUGAACUUAAGCAUAUCAAUAAGCGGAGGA
rnacentral:misc_RNA from 1 species